AAUUUUAGUGCUAACAGGAACUUAGGUUACCUAAGAUCACAUUGUCAGUAAAUGGCAAAUCAAGGAUGAGAGUGAACAUCAUCAGCUCCCUCAAAAUCCAAUAUUCCUUCCAUUACAAAUAAUCUCUUUCUUUUGCAUUUUUGGAAUAACAUAUACAAUAGUUAAAUUUAUGAGUGUUAAUAAAAUGGAAAUCCAUGUUUCUUCUGGAUUAGAUAUCAAAACACCUGAAGAAGGAUAUGGAAAGAAAGUGGGACGGAAGAACAGAACCAUUAACUCUUAGUGAAAAGAGCAGAAGAUGCCCUAAUCAUCUGUGUCGAAUUAUGGAAUAUUACACGCGCAUGCCACCACGUCUGGCUAAUUUUUAUAUUUUAGUAGAGACGGGGUUUCACCGUGUUAGCCAGGAUGGUCUCGAUCUCCUGACCUUGUGAUCCGCCCGUCUCGGCCUCCCAAAGUGCUAGGAUUACAGGCUUGAGCCACCGCGCCCGGCCUUUUUUUUACUUCUUAAACCUUUUUGUCCAAAACUAAGAUACAAACACACACAUUAGCCUGGGCCUACAAAAGGUGAGGAUCAUCAAUAUCACUAAUAUCACUGUCUUCCACCUCCACAUCUUAUCCCCCUGGAGGGUCUUCAGGGGAAAUAACAUGCAUGGAGCUGUCCUCUCCUGUGUUAACAAUCCCUUCUUCUGGAAUACCACCUGAAAGACCCAGCCAUCCCACUCCUAAGUAUUUAUCCAAGAGAUAUGAGAGUGUAAGUCAGUAUAAAGACUUGAAUAUGAAUAUUCAUGUCAGCUUUAUUUGUAUUAGUUCAAAACUGGAGACAACCUAAAUGUGCAUCAAUGGGUGAAUGAAUAAACAAAUUAUGGUAUAUACAAACCAUGGAAUAACACUACUUGGCAGUAAAGAGGAAUACGUUAUCGAUACACACAACCCGAGGGAUGAACCUCAAAAUAAUUAUGCUGAGUUAAAGAAACCAAACAAUAAAAUUGCUGGAUAAUUCUUUUUAUAUAAAAUUCUAGUAGUGAAAAUUAAUCUAUAGUGACAAAAAAUGGUUAGUGGCUGCUUCGGGAUGGGAAUAAGGGUUCAGGGAGAGGUGAAAGGAAAGGGUUGCAAAAAGACAUGAUAAAAGUUUUGGGAAUGAUGGAUAUAUGUUCACCACUUUUAGGGGUGGUGAUUGCACAAGUGUAUACAUAUGUCAAAACUUAAAUUGUUCACUUUAAAAUGUACUAUCAAUUGUAGAUCAGGUACACUUCAAUAAAGCCAGGCACAGUGGCUCACGCCUGUAAGCCCGGCACUUUGGGAGGCUGAGGUGGGCAGAUUGCUUGAGUUCAGAAGCUCAAAGCAGCCUGGGCCACAUGGUAAAACUCCAUCUCUACCAAAAAUACAAAAAUUAGCCAAGUGUGGUGGUGUGAACCUGUAGUCCUGGCUACUUGGAAGGCUGAGAUGGGAGAAUUGCUUGACCUUGAGAGGCGGAGGUUGCAGUAAGCUAGAGAUCACGCCACUGCACUCCAGCUUGAAUGACAGAGUGAGACCCUGUUGCAGAUGGAAAAAAAAAAAAAAAAAAAAAAAAAAAAAUAGAAAAAAAAGAGAAAAAGAAAAAGAAAAAAGGCAUGUCUUUCAUUAUCUGAGUCUUUUAAAACAUCCUUUAAAAUAUUUUUAUAUUUUUCCUCAUAAAGAUUUUGUGCAGUUGUGUUAGGUUAGUUCCAGGAUACACAAUAAUUUCUGGUGCUACUGUGACGUAUCUUAAUUCAUAUUUUCUCAUUACUUAUUGUAUUAGUAGUAUCAGUUAUGUCACUUAUGUAUGGC
rnacentral:lncRNA from 1 species